rnacentral:rRNA from 1 species
AUUGAACGCUGGCGGCAUGCCUUACACAUGCAAGUCGAACGGCAGCACGGGAGCAAUCCUGGUGGCGAGUGGCGAACGGGUGAGUAAAGUAUCGGAACGUGCCCAGUCGUGGGGGAUCACGUAGCGAAAGUUACGCUAAUACCGCAUACGAUGUAUGGAUGAAAGCGGGGGAUCGCAAGACCUAGCGCGGUUGGAGCGGCCGAUAUCAGAUUAGGUAGUUGGUGGGGUAAAGGCUCACCAAGCCGACAAUCUGUAGCUGGUCUGAGAGGACGGCCAGCCACACUGGGACUGAGACACGGCCCAGACUCCUACGGGAGGCAGCAGUGGGUAAUUUUGGACAAUGGGCGAAAGCCUGAUCCAGCCAUGCCGCGUGCAGGAUGAAGGCCUUCGGGUUGUAAACUGCUUUUGUACGGAACGAAAAGGUUUGGCCUAAUAAGCUGAGCUCAUGACGGUACCGUAAGAAUAAGCACCGGCUAACUACGUGCCAGCCGCCGCCGUAA